GGUCCUGUAGUGUAGCGGUUAUCACAUGGGAUUCUGAUCGCAGGUUUGCACAGUCUUGUCAUCUUCCCAUGACCCAGGUUCGAUUCCUGGCAGGACCU